UACAGAGGUCUCAAGCGUUGUUCGGAUUCAUUGGGCGUAAAAGGGGUGCGUAGGCGGCGCGGUAAGUCGGGGUGUGAAAAUCUCGGAGCUUAACUCCGAAACUGCAUUCGAUACUACCGUGCUUGAGGACUGGAGAGGAGACUGGAAAUUUACGGUGUAGCGGUGAAAUGCGUAGAUAUCGUAAGGAAAGACCAGUGGCGAAAGGGCGGGGUCUCUGG
rnacentral:rRNA from 1 species